UCCCUGAUGUUAGCGGCGGACGGGUGAGUAACACGUGAGUAACCUGCCUGUAAGACUGGGAUAACUCCGGGAAACCGGGGCUAAUACCGGAUGGUUGUUUGAACCGCAUGGUUCAAACAUAAAAGGUGGCUUCGGCUACCACUUACAGAUGGACCCGCGGCGCAUUAGCUAGUUGGUGAGGUAACGGCUCACCAAGGCAACGAUGCGUAGCCGACCUGAGAGGGUGAUCGGCCAAACUGGGACUGAGACACGGCCCAGACUCCUACGGGAGGCAGCAGUAGGGAAUCUUCCGCAAUGGACGAAAGUCUGACGGAGCAACGCCGCGUGAGUGAUGAAGGUUUUCGGAUCGUAAAGCUCUGUUGUUAGGGAAGAACAAGUACCGUUCGAAUAGGGCGGUACCUUGACGGUACCUAACCAGAAAGCCACGGCUAACUACGUGCCAGCAGCCGCGGUAAUACGUAGGUGGCAAGCGUUGUCCGGAAUUAUUGGGCGUAAAGGGCUCGCAGGCGGUUUCUUAAGUCUGAUGUGAAAGCCCCCGGCUCAACCGGGGAGGGUCAUUGGAAACUGGGGAACUUGAGUGCAGAAGAGGAGAGUGGAAUUCCACGUGUAGCGGUGAAAUGCGUAGAGAUGUGGAGGAACACCAGUGGCGAAGGCGACUCUCUGGUCUGUAACUGACGCUGAGGAGCGAAAGCGUGGGGAGCGAACAGGAUUAGAUACCCUGGUAGUCCACGCCGUAAACGAUGAGUGCUAAGUGUUAGGGGGUUUCCGCCCCUUAGUGCUGCAGCUAACGCAUUAAGCACUCCGCCUGGGGAGUACGGUCGCAAGACUGAAACUCAAAGGAAUUGACGGGGGCCCGCACAAGCGGUGGAAGCAUGGUGGUUUAAUUCGAAGCAACGCGAAGAACCUUACCAGGUCUUGACAUCCUCUGACAAUCCUAAAAAAUAGGACGUCCCCUUCGGGGGCA
rnacentral:rRNA from 1 species